AAGUUCAUCUCCACUGAAUCUCCCUCCAACAACAUACAUGAUCUUUCUCUUCAUCAUGUAAACCCUAAUUUGAGCUUACGGAUUCUAUUUCUGCUAUGAUCGGCUUCUUUUAAGGAUGAACAUGGCGAGUCUUCCGUUUCCGUUCUGUAAUAUUGAGGAGAAUUGAAAACAAGGAGAUCGAUGCUGCUGGUGGUGCAGAAUGAAUGUGAGAAGCUGAGAAAUCAAUCACACUUCACACCUCACAACUGCAAGAAUCUAACCGCUUCACAUACUAGCUCUGAUGGUGGUUUCUCGUCGUGCUGCAGAAGACUCUUUCCCCCUCCCUUGAUUAAAUUCGAAGGACUUUUGCAUUGGAAUGAUAAUAGUGCAAUAAAGGUUAGUAAAUUUUCCUAUAAUAUGUAUUACCCUUAGUUUUUAUAUUUAGAAUAUGAAAUUAA